GCAGCCGCGGUAAUUCCAGCUCCAAUAGCGUAUAUUAAAGUUGUUGCAGUUAAAAAGCUCGUAGUUGGAUUUCUGCCGAGGACGACCGGUCCGCCCUCUGGGUGCGUAUCUGGCUCGGCUUGGGCAUCUUCUUGGAGAACGUAUCUGCACUUGACUGUGUGGUGCGGUAUCCAGGACUUUUACUUUGAGGAGAUUAGAGUGUUUCAAGCAGGCACACGUCUUGAAUACAUUAGCAUGGAAUAAUAAGAUAGGACCUCGGUUCUAUUUUGUUGGUUUCUAGAGCUGAGGUAAUGAUUAAUAGGGAUAGUUGGGGGCAUUCGUAUUUAACUGUCAGAGGUGAAAUUCUUGGAUUUGUUAAAGACGGACCACUGCGAAAGCAUUUGCCAAGGAUGUUUUCAUUGAUCAAGAACGAAAGU
rnacentral:rRNA from 1 species